GCUUAUUAUGCUUUCAACAAUAGCUGCAAUACUUGGCUUAUGUGCUCCCAAAGUCAAAACUUUGAACGCUGUAGAGAAGUGUGCCAACGUGUAGUUGGUUGUUUCGGGUUUAACUACGUUCCAGUUAACAAACUUUGCUUUUUAAAGGAUAAACCAUGGAAAUGGCGUUCCCUAAAUUCAACAGGGUCUUUUUCUGGCUAUGCAGAAGUUGAUCAAAUUUAUGAAAACACAGAUUUUAAUCAAGGAGACAUGAAUGAAUGCAAUGUAAAUCACAAACGAAUGGUCAAAG
rnacentral:lncRNA from 1 species